UUAACACAUGCAAGUCGAACGCAACCUUCGGGUUGAGUGGCGGACGGGUGAGUAACGCGUGAGAAUCUGCCUUGGGGUCGGGGACAACCACUGGAAACGGUGGCUAAUACCGGAUAAGCCUUUGGGUAAAAAAUUUAUUGCCCCAAGAGGAGCUCGCGUCUGAUUAGCUAGUUGGUGAGGUAAAAGCUCACCAAGGCAGCGAUCAGUAGCUGGUCUGAGAGGACGAUCAGCCACACUGGGACUGAGACACGGCCCAGACUCCUACGGGAGGCAGCAGUGGGGAAUUUUCCGCAAUGGGCGAAAGCCUGACGGAGCAAGACCGCGUGAGGGAGGAAGGCUCUUGGGUUGUAAACCUCUUUUCUCAGGGAAGAAGCUCUGACGGUACCUGAGGAAUCAGCCUCGGCUAACUCCGUGCCAGCAGCCGCGGUAAUACGGAGGAGGCAAGCGUUAUCCGGAAUUAUUGGGCGUAAAGCGUCCGCAGGUGGCGAUUCAAGUCUGCUGUCAAAGCACGGGGCUUAACUCCGUUAAGGGAGUGGAAACUGAAUAGCUAGAGUGCCGUAGGGGUAGAGGGAAUUCCCGGUGUAGCGGUGAAAUGCGUAGAGAUCGGGAAGAACAUCGGUGGCGAAAGCGCUCUACUGGACGGCAACUGACACUCAGGGACGAAAGCUAGGGGAGCGAAUGGGAUUAGAUACCCCAGUAGUCCUAGCUGUAAACGAUGGAUAACUAGGUGUAGCUUGUAUCGACCCGAGC
rnacentral:rRNA from 1 species